CUGAAAUAGUUUAAGAAAAAUAUUGAUUUGUGGAGUCAAAGAUUUAAUUUAAUUUCAGUUU
rnacentral:tRNA from 1 species